rnacentral:lncRNA from 1 species
CAAGGUGAAAAUUUCAGAGCCUAUAUAUAGUGUUUAUAUUACUAUCCAAGGAGCCUAAAAUGAGGAGACAUAGAGCUUUAUUAUGUAGACCAUCUGAAACUGAUAGGCACUGACAGGAAGACCAAAAAAGAUAUUGAAUACAUCAGUUUAUGAUUAGAUAAGAAGCUAGAACUAUGUGAGAAACUUUUAGGAAAACCAUUAUGUGACUUUCGUGGAUGAACUAGAACAAUAUAUUCACAACAUAACAUGAAAAAGAAAUUCCUGACCAGAUUUGCUAUUGUAUUUGAUGGUGCUGUAGGGGAACAUUGAUAUACAUGGGGAAGCCAGAUGCACUACAAGCUCAUUUGUCCAGAUUUGGAAGGCCUGUACCUGAUGGAGAAAACAGUAUUGAGU